AAGCUCGUAGUUGAAUUUCGGGAUUAGUACGUCGGUCGUGCCUUAGGUACGUACUGGUGUUACUGGUUCCUACCUUCUGACGAACCAUCAUGUCAUUAAUUUGGUGUGGUGGGGAAUCAGGACUGUUACUUUGAAAAAAUUAGAGUGUUUAAAGCAGGCUCGCGCUUGAAUACAUUAGCAUGGAAUAAUGAAAUAGGACGUUGAUCCUAUUUUGUUGGUUUCUAGGAUUGACGUAAUGAUUAAUAGAGAUAGUUGGG
rnacentral:rRNA from 1 species